rnacentral:rRNA from 1 species
UUUUCAGUGUCGCAGCGAAAGCGAUCAACACACCGCCUGGGGAGUACGACCGCAAGGUUAAAACUCAAAUGAAUUGACGGGGACCCGCACAAGUAGUGGAGCAUGUGGUUUAAUUCGAAGAUACGCGCAGAACCUUACCAACACUUGACAUGUUCGUCGCGACUUUAAGAGAUUAAAGUUUUCGGUUCGGCCGGACGAAACACAGGUGCUGCAUGGCUGUCGUCAGCUCGUGUCGUGAGAUGUUGGGUUAAGUCCCGCAACGAGCGCAACCCUCACUUUUAGUUGCCAUCAUUAAGUUGGGCACUCUGAAAGAACUGCCAGUGAUAAGCUGGAGGAAGGUGGGGAUGACGUCAAGUCCUCAUGGCCCUUACGUGUUGGGCUACACACGUGCUACAAUGGUAUCUACAACAGGAAGCAAGACAGCGAUGUUAAGCAAAUCCCUAAAAGAUACCUCAGUUCGGAUUGCACUCUGCAACUCGAGUGCAUGAAGCUGGAAUUACUAGUAAUCGUGGAUCAGCGUGCCACGGUGAAUGCGUUCCCGGGUCUUGUACACACCGCCCGUCACACCAUGGGAGUUGGUUCUACCUUAAGGCAAGGUUUAAUACCCUUGACCACGGUAUAGUCAGCGACUGGGGUGAAGUCGUAACAAGGUAGCCGUAGGGGAACCUGCGGCUGGAUUACCUCCUU